rnacentral:rRNA from 1 species
AUGCGCAAAUACUCAAUUUGGCACUUCCCAUACAGGCAAAAGUGCUACCUUAAAUUUGUAGCUCUGAUAAAAAAAUCAUUUCAAACGUAUCUGAUGGUAAAAAAGAUAAUGACGGGAAAACUGCACACCAUUCAUCCAAGUGAAAGUCAGAGUUUCUCUUCUGAAGAGUACUUACUAUAUAGAACCACAUCUUUGUCAGGUUUAUUCUGGAUAACUGGGAAUACAUGUUUCAGGAGCCUAUUGUUUCUGUUGAUCGCAGUUACUAUCUUGUGUAGGUUGCAAUAUCUGCCAGCUUUGUAUUCUUUUUGUCAAUUUUUUGUUGGUAGGUUGGUCCAUUCGGUAAAACUUAAAACUUCUGAAAUAGACAUCUAUGGAUAUGGACAUGCUAAACAUUUUCAGGAAUGUAAGAAGGCAGUAUAG